UUGCACUAAUACCACCAACUGAGAUUCCAUCAAAUAGUAGGGCAUAGGGACAGUAACUUUUCCUGCAAAAAAGAAAACACUAUUAGUAAAAAAUCUCAUCACCAUGUCCUCCUCCAAAAGGAGUUGGGCAUGGUGAUCACUUGUGUAAGCUCCAGUUGUCUUCUCUUCUAUACUUCUCUCCUCCAUAUGGAUUUGAGCAACGAAUGUGUUCCUAGAAAUCCUUCUGCUCCAGUUGUGUGUUGUUGUAUUUAUUGUAUGACACCAUCCUUUGAGUGUAUUAAGAUGUUUUCCCAAUAUCUUCAUCAAUCGUUGAUGACAGAAAAAGGAAGGCCAUGUACCAAAAAUCUGGGCAGCUUUCUCUUAUAUCUCCAGUGAUGCAAAUUCCUUAUUAGAUCAGAUGUUCGAGACAUAAAAUUCCAAACCCAAACUGCCUUCCAUAGACCACUGGAGACUCUCCAUGCAUUCCUUCUUGUGCUCACCACUGACCUCACUACAUGGGAAUGAGCACAUAGUGCUAAUACCACCCAUAGAAGUUCAGUCAGUUGGUGAGACAUGUUUACAGUACUGAUCCCUGCAAAAAAGAACACGAUGUUAGUAAAAAAAUAGUGCAUUUUGAUCUCUUCCCUGCAGAUUUGAUCACAGUAUUCCCAUUGAUCUCCUUCUUUCCCUUUGACAUCCAUUUGAUUCUCCGCUAAUUCUUGGCAACCUUCACCCUCAAAUAAGGAUAUUGCAGUUUAUCUAAGUUCACAAUCCUUCUAGCUAAAUCUGAAAAAUAUUUGAAUAGUCAUGAAUCAAGAAGGGUGCUCAAGCAAAAAUAAGAAAAUAUCCAACCGCAUUCCAGCUGGAUCACUUGCAUCUUUGCGAAAUCAAAGGGUUUCGUCGUUGACAACACAAAGAACCUUCCAAGCUACAAGGUCUAAUACAAAUGAAGAACGACAAUCAGAAGGUGGAUUACCUUCAUCUUUGCGAAACCAAAAGGUUUCGUCGUUGACUACAAAAACAGUCUUGAAAGUUAUAAGGUCAAAUGCAAAUGAAGAACAACAAUCCGAAGGUGGAUCUCAAUUGCAAGAACAAGUGCAACAAGUGCCACAGAAUUGCACCUCUUCAGCAACACAAGGAGUACAUGAACAAGUGCAACAAAAGAAUAUGGAUUCCAUCACUCCUGCGUCACAGGGAGUAUAUGAACGAUCUAAUGAUUCUACCAAUCAUGAAGCAAUUGAAUAAUUUGAGGAACAAGACAAAUAUAUAUAAAUUUUAAUCAUAAACUUAACUAAAUAUAGUGAUUAAUGAUUAUCUUUGUUUUGUACUAUUGCAGGCCCCUCCUUGCCAAAAAGAAAAAGAGGUCGUACUCAAAUGCCAAGUGCUCAUGUUAGAAAUGAGCGUAAAAUAAUCACUCUAAAUGAGUUUAAUUAAUCUGUUGGUCCUACUAAAGAGGUUGUAAAAGAGUUGGGUAGCUUCCUCGGCACAUUGGCAAGGAGUGAGACUUUUUGUCCUCUUAAUGUAUUUAAUUGGAGAAAACUAGACACAAAAGAUGAUAUGUGGAAAUAUAUCAAGAAAAAAUAUGACAUUCCUGAUGGGGCGAAAAAAUGGAUUUUUGAAUCAGUUGGUAGUGUUUGGAGAAAGUAUAAGAGUCAAUUGAAGACAACUCACUUUACAGCCUAUGAGAAUGAUGAGCUUCAAAUGGAGAAUAGGCUAGUAGAUGUUCCGGAAUCUCACUUUAAGGAUCUUCUUAACUAUUGGAACUCCGAUCCUCACAAGAAAAUAUCCGAAACCAAUACAGAGAAUCGAAAUAAGUUGAAGUGUCCACACACUGCUGGCAGAACACCUUUUGCUCUAAUUCGCGAGGAGAAAAAGAAGGAAAUCUCUAAUACUUCAGAUACUAUAUCAAGUAAGGACAUCUUUGUGGCUACAAGAAAAGAAAACUUGGCCGAGUAUACAAAAGCUCAUAUGACAAUAUGAUUAGUAAAAUUAUGGCGAUCAUUCAAUUGACGUUUUUGCAUCAGUCAUGGGACCUAAACAUCCAGGUCGCAUGAGAUUGUAUGGACGAGGGGUUACCAAGAUUGUGUUAAAAGGGCAAAAAGGGAAUCUUGGAUCUUCUGAUGAGAGGAUGCAGCAGAAAAUGGAGGAAAUUGAAGAGAGGAUGCAACAAAGAAUACAUGAAAAGUUGAACGAACAAAAGGAUGCUAUGGAAGAAAAUAUUACAAUGAAAUCGGACGACUUCAGCGUUUGAACCCAGAUUUGCGACUUGUCCUGACAUGUUAAGGUUUAGUGCACGUUCACCUGUAGAAGCUUCCUCUGCACAACAAGCUGCUAUUCAACUAAACAGUCGGCCAUCUGCUGGUAGUAACAAUCAAGACUGUGAACUAUACAUCUGGGGACCUAUAGAAUAGUGUGUCUUGUGGUGACAUUGAAGUUGAAAGGGUUUGAGUUGGAAUUACUUUUGUUCAUAUCCGUAGGAGUCAAAAUGGCUUGAACAAGAAUCCAUCCUGCAAAGAUUGUCCAGAUCCUUAAAAUAAGUGGUGGAGUAGAUCAAGAAAUGGAUGAUGAAGACGAUGAAGAACUAAACCUUACUUGAGAUGAAUUUUGAUUUGUUAUAGAUGAAUGUUCUAGGAAUCUUUUGUUGCCAACAUUUUUUGAAACUUAUUUACCCUCUUAAAAUGUACUAAACUUAUGCACUCAUGGGGUAGAACAUUUGCUUUAUGGAUAUUAUUUGCUUGAUGGAUAAUUUUAUAUUA